rnacentral:RNase_P_RNA from 1 species
CGACCGGGCUAAGCGAUCGCCCUUUGAGAAAUCGAGGGAGGAAAGUCCGAACACGGCCCCGCUCUCGGGCGGGGAGAAUGGUAGCGGGUAACACCCGCACGCUGCGAGGCGCGAGGUGCGAGCAGAGACGUCUUGAGCGAAAGCAAGAGACGUCUCCGGGAACGAAAGGACCCGGAGACGAGUUUCCGAGGCGACUCGGGAGGUGAAACGGCCAAAUCCUUACCGCCGUGCAAGGCCGUGUCCGUCACACUGUAGAAGUGUGGCGGAAGUGCCGCUCGAGGUUCUGAGCAAUCAGAAUCCCAGACAAAUGAUCGCUCACGACAGAAUUCGGCUUAUCGGCCCGGUCUAUAA